rnacentral:rRNA from 1 species
ACGAACGCUGGCGGCGUGCUUAACACAUGCAAGUCGAACGGAAAGGCCUGCUUUCCCUUGUGGAUUGCGGGUACUCGAGUGGCGAACGGGUGAGUAACACGUGAGUGAUCUGCCCCCAACUUGGGUAUAAGCCUGGGAAACUGGGUCUAAUUCCCGAUAGGACUGCAGGGUGGUGCCUGUGGUGGAAAACGAUUUUCUAGUGGUUGGGGAUGAGCUCGCGGCCUAUCAGCUUGUUGGUGGGGUAAUGGCCUACCAAGGCGGCGACGGGUAGCCGGCCUGAGGGGGUGGACGGCCACAUUGGGACUGAGAUACGGCCCAGACUCCUACGGGAGGCAGCAGUGGGGAAUAUUGCACAAUGGGCGGAAGCCUGAUGCAGCGACGCCGCGUGGGGGAUGACGGCCUUCGGGUUGUAAACUCCUUUCGACCGCGAGGAAGCCACCUGGUUGGAGGGGUGGUGACGGUAGUGGUAGAAGAAGCACCGGCUAACUACGUG